CUACGGGUUGCUGCAGUAGAGAAUCUUUCGCAAUGGGGGAAACCCCGACGGAGCAACACUGCGUGACCGAUGACGGCCUUCGGGUUGUAAAGGUCUUUUUUGAGGGAAUAAUUCUGAAGGUACCUUAAGAAUAAGCACCGGCUAAUUCCGUGCCAGCAGCCGCGGUAAUACGGAAGGUGCAAGCGUUAUCCGGAAUCAUUGGGCGUAAAGCGUCCGUAGGCGGUGAUUUAAGUUAGAUGUUAAAUCUAGAGGCUCAACUUCUAGAUCGUAUCUAAAACUGGAUCACUAGAGACUUGUAGAGGCUCGUAGAAUUCUGUAUGUAGGGGUAAAAUCCGUAGAUAUACAGAGGAAUACCAAAAGCGAAGGCAGCGAGCUGGGCAAGUUCUGACGCUCAGGGACGAAAGCGUGGGUAGCGAACGGGAUUAGAUACCCGAGUAGUC
rnacentral:rRNA from 1 species